rnacentral:lncRNA from 1 species
CUUCUUAGAUGAAAAUAAGUAAUACAUUCUCACCUUAGAAAGAGUUAAGAUAGGCAUUAUACUGCAGGACCUUUUGCAGUACAAUCUCUUUGUCUCUGUUAGUGUUAAAUCCAUUUAUCUUAAUUAUAGUAUCUGUCUCCUCUCUGGCUUGUAUCCACAGUUGUCUUGUCAGGUGCUGUUAAAAUUCUGUGGAUGGGAGAGUUAAACAUGUGUGAGCAGUUACAACCUUUAUUUCAAAUUAUGUGUGCCUCUGGCUAACCUGAUUUGGAGUAAAACUCUGCAGCAGUACUGACUUCUAAUCUUAAAGACUACUUACUGGUCAUACCAUAUAUUGAGGAGGUCCUAGACCACACUGUGGAAUAGAAAUAUAAGGUAUCAGCUAAAAUGGAAUAGCUGAAAGGAAGCUGAGAAUUGACAGUUUUUGAAAUAUGGCCUAUUAGACAAUCCAACUCUUCAUUUAGGCUGAGUACCUUUGAAUUCUUCAACUGACGGUAAGAGUAAUAGAGGUUUAAAAAAUUUCCAGUUUUUGAAAUCUGGAUUAUAUGUUUGUAAAAAUAUUUCAUCAUCAUAUGUUCAAGUGAAUUUACACCUAGGAAUAAAUUCUGUUCCAUUGUCUAAGACUAGCUUUCUGAAAGUAUUACAGAUUUUCUGCUUAAUGCUACAUGAAACAUAGCGCAACGAAAAAAUCUCUAGCAAUUAAUGCACACACAGAGCUAAACAUUGUGACUAUUUGCUGAUAUCCUUGCUGCAUUUUACAUUGCUUUACUUGAAGGUUAGAAAGCAUGCUUCAAUAAUCUUAUGUAACUAUUAUGCCCCGGGACUCUCAUGCCAGUCAGCUGGGGUGAUAAAGAUAGCUCUGUGUACUAAAUAUAGAGACACGAAAAUAGAGCUGGUGAAAGUGGACAAAACCAGGAGACGUGAUAGGCUCUUAUGCCUCCUCCAGUGGCUGAAACCUGCUAAUACUGGCUUCUGAAGUCCUGGCAGCAAGUUGCAGCCAGCAGGAACAAUCAUCUUUUGGGUUCAUUGCUUACUCCAUGAGGCUUUGAUUAUGAAGCUAGAUUUAAGGCAGUCAGAAAAAUUCUAAAAUCAAAACAAAAGUUAGACAUUAACAAUAUAAAUAAUGACCAUUCACUGAGUGAUUUACAAAUUGAUAAUGCUCCAGAAACUUGAGAAUUUUCUUGGCCCUCUGAAUUCAUUUUCCAUCCUCCCCAAAGAAACCAAGUUAUAAAUAGCGAGUAGGUAUGUGCACCCAGAAUGCCAUAUUUCUACAGUGAAAUUUUUACAUUGUGUUUAUAAAGUUCUUGAUUAAUAAAUUAUUAAAAAUGUGUACAAUGGUUAAAUUAUUAUAAUGCAUUUACAAUGCGACAUAAUGAGUAAUGUAUCAUUUCUACAUUAAUACAUUCUGCC